rnacentral:rRNA from 1 species
GAGAAGGGCGUUUGGUGAAUGCCUUGGCAGUAAGAGGCGAUGAAAGACGUGAUACUCUGCGAUAAGUCAUGAGGAGCUGAGAAUAAGCUUUGAUCCAUGAAUUUCUGAAUGGGGCAACCCACCUGAAAGUUCAUUAUUGUUACUUCGGUAGUCAAUAAUGUUCUUAACCAGGUACUUAAGACCUGAAUACAUAGGGUUUUAAGAGCAAACCCGGGGAACUGAAACAUCUAAGUACCCGGAGGAAAGGAAAUCAAUAUGAUACUCCCCUAGUAGCGGCGAGCGAACGGGGACCAGCCGAGCCUUGAGUGUGAGAAGAACCUGUUGGGAAGCAGGACCAUAGGGGGUGAUAGUCCCGUAUUCGAAACAUGAUAGGACGUAUUAAGUAGGGCGGAACACGUGAAAUUCUGUCUGAAGAUCGGAGGACCACCUUCGAAGGCUAAGUACUCCUUACUGACCGAUAGCGAACCAGUACCGUGAGGGAAAGGUGAAAAGCACCCCGAUAAGGGGAGUGAAAUAGAUCCUGAAACCAUACGCUUACAAGCGGUCGGA